rnacentral:rRNA from 1 species
CACGUAGGGGGCGAGCGUUGUCCGGAUUUAUUGGGCGUAAAGAGCUCGUAGGCGGCUCGGUAAGUCGGGUGUGAAACCUCCAGGCUCAACCUGGAGACGCCACCUGAUACUGCUGUGGCUAGAGUCCGGUAGGGGAGUGUGGAACUCCUGGUGUAGCGGUGAAAUGCGCAGAUAUCAGGAAGAACACCAGCGGCGAAGGCGGCACUCUGGGCCGGAACUGACGCUGAGGGAGCGAAAGCGUGGGUAGCAAACAGG